CCAAUAGCGUAUAUUAGAGUUGCUGCAGUUAAAAAGCUCGUAGUUGAAUUUCGGGACCAUCAUGUCGGUCGUGCCUCGGUACGUACUGGUAUUGUUGGUUUCUCCCUUCUGACGAACCAUGAUGUCAUUUAUUUGGUGUGGUGGGGAAUCAGGACUGUUACUUUGAAAAAAUUAGAGUGUUUAAAGCAGGCUCACGCUUGAAUACAUUAGCAUGGAAAAAUGAAAUAGGACGUUUGAUUCUAUUUUGUUGGUUUCCAGGAUCGACGUAAUGAUUAAUAGGGAUAGUUGGGAGCAUUAGUAUUCAAUUGUCAGAGGUGAAAUUCUUGGAUUUAUUUAAGACUAACUACUGCGAAAGCAUUUGCCAAGGGUGUUUUCAUUAAUCAAGAACGAAAGUUAGGGGAUCGAAGACGAUCAGAUACCGUCGUAGUCUUAACCAUAAACUAUGCCGACUAGGGAUCGGAUGAUGUUAAUUUUUUAAUGACUCAUUCGGCGCCUUACG
rnacentral:rRNA from 1 species